AGCGGAAACGAGUUAUCUGAACCUUCGGGGAACGAUAACGGCGUCGAGCGGCGGACGGGUGAGUAAUGCCUAGGAAAUUGCCUUGAUGUGGGGGAUAACCAUUGGAAACGAUGGCUAAUACCGCAUGAUGCCUACGGGCCAAAGAGGGGGACCUUCGGGCCUCUCGCGUCAAGAUAUGCCUAGGUGGGAUUAGCUAGUUGGUGAGGUAAUGGCUCACCAAGGCGACGAUCCCUAGCUGGUCUGAGAGGAUGAUCAGCCACACUGGAACUGAGACACGGUCCAGACUCCUACGGGAGGCAGCAGUGGGGAAUAUUGCACAAUGGGCGCAAGCCUGAUGCAGCCAUGCCGCGUGUAUGAAGAAGGCCUUCGGGUUGUAAAGUACUUUCAGCAGUGAGGAAGGGGGUGUCGUUAAUAGCGGCAUUUCUUGACGUUAGCUGCAGAAGAAGCACCGGCUAACUCCGUGCCAGCAGCCGCGGUAAUACGGAGGGUGCGAGCGUUAAUCGGAAUUACUGGGCGUAAAGCGCAUGCAGGUGGUUUGUUAAGUCAGAUGUGAAAGCCCGGGGCUCAACCUCGGAACUGCAUUUGAAACUGGC
rnacentral:rRNA from 1 species